GAUGAACGCUGGCGGCGUGCCUAAUACAUGCAAGUCGAGCGAACGGACGAGAAGCUUGCUUUUCUGAUGUUAGCGGCGGACGGGUGAGUAACACGUGGAUAACCUACCUGUAAGACUGGGAUAACUUCGGGAAACCGGAGCUAAUACCGGAUAAUAUUUUGAACCGCAUGGUUCAUAAGUGAAAGACGGUCUUGCUGUCACUUAUAGAUGGAUCCGCGCUGCAUUAGCUAGUUGGUAAGGUAACGGCUUACCAAGGCAACGAUGCAUAGCCGACCUGAGAGGGUGAUCGGCCACACUGGAACUGAGACACGGUCCAGACUCCUACGGGAGGCAGCAGUAGGGAAUCUUCCGCAAUGGGCGAAAGCCUGACGGAGCAACGCCGCGUGAGUGAUGAAGGUCUUCGGAUCGUAAAACUCUGUUAUUAGGGAAGAACAUAUGUGUAAGUAACUGUGCACAUCUUGACGGUACCUAAUCAGAAAGCCACGGCUAACUACGUG
rnacentral:rRNA from 1 species